CCCUUAGAUGUUCUGGGCCGCACGCGCGCUACGCUGAUGCAUUCAACGAGUCUAAAACCUGGUCUGAGAGGGCUGGGUAAUCUUUUGAAAGUGCAUCGUGAUUGGGAUAGAUGAUUGCAAUUCUUCAUCUUCAACGAGGAAUGCCUAGUAAACGCAAGUCAUCAGCUUGCAUUGAUUACGUCCCUGCCCUUUGUACACACCGCCCGUCGCUCCUACCGAUUGAACGAUCCGAUGAAAACUGUGGAUUGAGAGUCUGAGUGGGUUCGCCUACCUCAACUUUCGAGAAGCGGUUUAAAUCUUAUCGUUUAGAGGAAGGAGAAGUCGUAACA
rnacentral:rRNA from 1 species